UACAUUAUGGCCGAGUGGUUAAGGCAUUGGACUUGAAUUCCAAUGGGCAUUGCCAGCGCAGGUUCAAACCCUGCUCGCAGCGACGUAU